rnacentral:rRNA from 1 species
AUUGCACGCUGGCGGCAGGCCUACCACAUGCAAGUCCUACGAGUUGCGGACGGGUGAGUAAUGUCUGGGAAACUUCCUGCUGGAGGGGGAUAACUACUGGAAAAGGUAGCUAAUACCGCAUACCAUCGGAUGUGCCCAAAUGGGAUUACCUGGUAGGUGGGGUAAAGGCUCACCUAGGCGACGUUCCCUAGCUGGGCUGAGAGGAUGACCAGCAACACUGUAACUGAGACACGGUCCAGACUCCUACGGGAGGCAGCAGUGGGGAAUAUGGAACAAUGGGCGCAAGCCUGAUGCAGCCAUGCCGCGUGUAUGAAGAAGGCCUUCGGGUUUUAAAGUACUUUCAGCGGGGAGGCGUUACCCGCAGAAGAAGCACCGGCUAACUCCGUGCCAGCAGCCGCGGUAAUAC